ACUCCUACGGGAGGCAGCAGUGGGAAUAUUGCACAAUGGGCGCAAGCCUGAUGCAGCCAUGCCGCGUGUGUGAAGAAGGCCUUCGGGUUGUAAAGCACUUUCAGUCGGGAGGAAGGUAGUGUAGUUAACACCUGCAUUAUUUGACGUUACCUACAGAAGAAGCACCGGCUAACUCCGUGCCAGCAGCCGCGGUAAUACGGAGGGUGCGAGCGUUAAUCGGAAUUACUGGGCGUAAAGCGUGCGCAGGCGGUUUGUUAAGCGAGAUGUGAAAGCCCCGGGCUCAACCUGGGAAUUGCAUUUCGAACUGGCAAGCUAGAGUCUUGUAGAGGGGGGUAGAAUUUCAGGUGUAGCGGUGAAAUGCGUAGAGAUCUGAAGGAAUACCGGUGGCGAAGGCGGCCCCCUGGACAAAGACUGACGCUCAUGCACGAAAGCGUGGGGAGCAAACAGGAUUAGAUACCCUGGUAGGCUCU
rnacentral:rRNA from 1 species